GUCUAAUAUAAAUAGCCUAGUGGACAUGGCACCUGCCCGGUAAGCAGAAGGUUGUGGGUUCGAUUCCCGCUCCUGGACA
rnacentral:tRNA from 1 species